rnacentral:rRNA from 1 species
GGCGGCGCGCCUAACACAUGCAAGUCGAACGAGAGAUGAAGAGCUUGCUCUUCAGAUCGAGUGGCGAACGGGUGAGUAACGCGUGAGGAACCUGCCUCAAAGAGGGGGGACAACAGUUGGAAACGACUGCUAAUACCGCAUAAGCCCACAGCUCGGCAUCGAGCAGAGGGAAAAGGAGCAAUCCGCUUUGAGAUGGCCUCGCGUCCGAUUAGCUAGUUGGUGAGGUAAACGGCCCACCAAGGCGACGAUCAGUAGCCGGCCUGAGAGGUUGAACGGCCACAUUGGGACUGAGACACGGCCCAGACUCCUACGGGAGGCAGCAGUGGGGAAUAUUGCACAAUGGGGGAAACCCUGAUGCAGCGACGCCGCGUGGAGGAAGAAGGUCUUCGGAUUGUAAACUCCUGUUGUUGAGGAAGAUAAUGACGGUACUCAACAAGGAAGUGACGGCUAACUACGUG